AGUGGAUGGGGAGCAACCUAGUUGUGCGUGUGUAAAGGUAGUGCCAAGAAAAGCGGUGAUCAUGAUGAAAAUCAAUUCCCGGUACCCGAAACCGACACAGGUGGGCAAGUAGAGAAUACUAAGGGGCGCGAGGUAACUCUCUCCAAGGAACUCGGCAAAAUGACCCCGUAACUUAGGGAGAAGGGGUGCCACCGAGAGGUGGUCGCAGUGAAGAGGCCCAGGCGACUGUUUAGCAAAAACAUAGGUCUCUGCAAACUCGAAAGAGGAGGUAUAGGGGCUGACGCCUGCCCAGUGCCGGAAGGUUAAAGAAGUUGGUCAGUCUUAGGAUGAAGCUAGCGACUGAAGCCCCGGUGAACGGCGGCCGUAACUAUAACGGUCCUAAGGUAGCGAAAUUCCUUGUCGGGUAAGUUCCGAGCCGCACGAAAGGCGUAACGAUCUGGGCGCUGUCUCGGAGAGAGGCUCGGCGAAAUAGGAUUGUCUGUGAAGAUACGGACUACCUGCAUUUGGACAGAAAGACCCUAUGAAGCUUUACUAUAGCUUGGAAUUGUGUUCGGGCUUCCUGUGCGCAGGAUAGGUGGGAGGCGUAGAAGGUAUUCCUGUGGGGAUACUGGAGCCAACGGUGAGAUACCACUCUCAGGAGGCUAGAAUUCUAACUUAAUUAAGGACAGUUUCAGGUGGGUAGUUUGACUGGGGCGGUCGCCUCCAAAAAGGUAACGGAGGCGUACAAAGGUUCCCUCAGACUGGUUGGAAAUCAGUCGAAGAGUGCAAAGGCAGAAGGGAGCUUGACCGCGAGAAGUACAGUUCGAGCAGGGUGGAAACACGGUCUUAGUGAUCCGACGGUGCUGUGUGGAAGGGCCGUCGCUCAACGGAUAAAAGUUACUCUAGGAUAACAGGCUGAUCUCCCCCAAGAGUUCACAUCGACGGGGAGGUUUGGCACCUCGAUGUCGGCUCAUCGCAACCUGGGGCGGAAGUACGUCCCAAGGGUUGGGCUGUUCGCCCAUUAAAGCGGUACGUGAGCUGGGUUCAGAACGUCGUGAGACAGUUCGGUCCAUAUCCGAUGUAGGCGUGAGAAUAUUGAGAGGAGCCUUCCUUAGUACGAGAGGACCGGGAAGGACGCACCGCUGGUGUACCUGUUAUGAUGCCAAUUGUAAACGCAGGGUAGCCAAGUGCGGAGAGGAUAACCGCUGAAAGCAUCUAAGUGGGAAGCCCACCUCAAGAUGAGUAUUCUGGUGUAAGGUCACGGGAAGACGACCCGUAAAUAGGCACGAGGUGGAAGUGCAGAGAUGUAUGAAGCCGAAGUGUACUAAUAGACCGUCGGCUUGACC
rnacentral:rRNA from 1 species